UACGAAGGGGGCUAGCGUUGUUCGGAAUCACUGGGCGUAAAGCGCACGUAGGCGGAUCUUUAAGUCAGGGGUGAAAUCCCAGAGCUCAACUCUGGAACUGCCUUUGAUACUGGGGAUCUCGAGUUCGGGAGAGGUGAGUGGAACUGCGAGUGUAGAGGUGAAAUUCGUAGAUAUUCGCAAGAACACCAGUGGCGAAGGCGGCUCACUGGCCCGAUACUGACGCUGAGGUGCGAAAGCGUGGGGAGCGAUCCGG
rnacentral:rRNA from 1 species